GUUAAAAUAAUUUAAUUUAAAAUAUUGGUUUUGUAAACCAAAAUUGGAAACUUCCUUUUAAUA
rnacentral:tRNA from 1 species